rnacentral:misc_RNA from 1 species
GAUGAAGAACGUAGCGAAAUGCGAUAAGUAAUGUGAAUUGCAGAAUACAGUGAAUCAUCGAAUCUUUGAACGCACCUUGCACUCCUUGGUAUUCCGAGGAGUACGCCUGUUCGAGUGUUAUGAAGCUCUCAAAACGCAAUUGGCUUAAAACCUGAUUGUUGUUUUGGAUUUGAACUUUGCCGUGUUACAACGGCUGGUUUUAAAAGCAUUAGCUGGUACUAGAACGAAUUGGUUCUACUCAACGUGAUAAUUAUCUGAUCGUUGAGGACAUUCCUUUCACGAGGAAUGGCCAUAGUAAAUUCAAUGGACUGCUUCUAACUUGGCUUUAAUUCUUAAUUGGAUUAACCACUUUUCAAAUCUGACCUCGAAUCAGGUGGGACUACCCGCUGAACUUAAGCAUAUCAAUAAGCGGAGGA